GUAGCUCAGUUGGUAGAGCAGAGGAAUGAAAAUCCUCGUGCCGAUGGUUCAAGUCCAUCUCUGACCA
rnacentral:tRNA from 1 species